CAGCCGCCGCGGUAAAACCAGCACCUCAAGUGGUCAGGAUGAUUAUUGGGCCUAAAGCAUCCGUAGCCGGCUCUGUAAGUUUUCGGUUAAAUCCACACGCUCAACGUAUGGGCUGCCGGGAAUACUGCACAGCUAGGGAGUGGGAGAGGUAGACGGUACUCGGUAGGAAGGGGUAAAAUCCUUUGAUCUAUUGAUGACCACCUGUGGCGAAGGCGGUCUACCAGAACACGUCCGACGGUGAGGGAUGAAAGCUGGGGGAGCAAACCGGAUUAGAUACCCGGGUAGUCCCAGCUGUAAACUAUGCAAACUCAGUGAUGCAUUGGCUUGUGGCCAAUGCAGUGCUGCAGGGAAGCCGUUAAGUUUGCCGCCUGGGAAGUACGUACGCAAGUAUGAAACUUGAAGGAAUUGGCGGGGGAGCAC
rnacentral:rRNA from 2 species